rnacentral:rRNA from 1 species
UACAGAGGUCCCAAGCGUUGUUCGGAUUCAUUGGGCGUCAAGGGUGCGUAGGUGGCGUCGUAAGUCGGGUGUGAAAUCUCGGGGCUUAACUCCGAAACUGCAUUCGAUACUGCGGUGCUUGAGGACUGGAGAGGAGACUGGAAUUUACGGUGUAGCAGUGAAAUGCGUAGAGAUCGUAAGGAAGACCAGUGGCGAAGGCGGGUCUCUGGACAGUUCCUGACACUGAGGCACGAAGGCCAGGGGAGCAAACGGG